GGCCACCGUCUCUGUCAGCAAUAAUGGAGUCAACUGGAAAAAUAUUAGAACUUAAUUAAUUAUUUUUUAGUUUUAAUUAAAUAAACCACUAACUUUUUGUAAAGCUGACAUUUUUGCGUUAAUACGUUAAUGUGAAGGAAGAAAAAAAACUUUACAUCAACAGCUGUUAAUGACAUAACAUUUACCUGUAGUAUGUUCAGUGUUUGAAUUCCGGGUUAACAAUUUAUUUAGAUUGGCAAAUGUCAUUUAGUAAUAAGAAGCAGAAUUAUUACAAGAAAAAACUGUGUUUUUCUAAUAUUGUUUGUUAAGUUGAUUUUUUUAUAUUAAUUUUCUAUUAAAGUUUCUAAAGAAUUUAUAUACAAAUGUUAAAUAUUCAUACAGUUGCUAAUAAUUUAUGUGAAAGAUAUAAAUUUAUCUUAAUAAUUCUAUAAUUUUCUCAAAAGAAAAUAAGAAAUAUUUUAUGUUACUUUUGGCCAAUAGUAGCAGCUAUUGUUUUUAAUAAUGGAACAAGAAAUCGGUACGUGGGAUUCGGUAUUAUUGGAAAAUCUUUCUGAAGAUAGUUUCAUUAAUAAUAUACAUCAGCGAUAUAAACGUGAUCAUAUUUAUACCUACAUUGGCACCUCAGUCGUUGCAGUAAAUCCAUAUCAUCACAUAUCAGAACAUUCGUUGGAAUUAAUACGCAAUUAUGGCAGUAAGGGUAUUUUUCAAUUGCCGCCACAUAUAUAUGGUUUGUCAAAUCUGGCCUUUCAAUCCCUUAAGGAUCAAAGUGAAGACCAGUGUAUUUUAUUAACAGGUGAGAGUGGUUCUGGUAAAACAGAAUCUUUUAAAAUGAUUGUAAAUUUCUUAACACACAUACAAGAAAGAUCGAAAGAAUCAACAAGCUCUCAACGAAAACAAACUACUGCCAGUUCAACAGCCGGCGCAGCUGUUGCUAGCGGUUGUUCAGUGGUUGCCAGCCACAAACAUCGUCGUACCUCUAGCUCUUGUUCUGUCGGUCCAUCGCCGAAUUAUAUGCUUUGCAAAAAUUCUUCAGCUACGGCUAGUACCACUACUAGCUUGUCAAUGCAACGACGACAGUCGCCUUCACCAGGUCCGACAGCACGAAGAUGUGACAUAGCAUUGCAGCAUCGUUCACGGGCAGAUAGUACAGAGCGUCAGGCUAAAUGUUCAAAUGUGCGAGAAAAAAUGGUUGAGUUUGAUUUUUCACAUCACAAAAGUAGUGAGAAUAUAACAACUAUUGAUAGUUCAUACACCACAGCUGCAUCGGUUCACUACAGUCAAGCGCAACAGGGUACAGCAUCGGCAUUAAACCUAUCGCCACAUCCUACAAAAUCAUGUUUUAAACAUCAUCAAUCAACGCAAGUACCCUGCAAUACUGCCACUCCCUUAAAAUCAACAUUAUCAACGACUUCUUCAUCUUCAUAUGCUCGAAGUGCUUCGCCGAAAUAUCUGACAGGUUCCAACGCCGGAGGUUGUCGACAAUGUGGUCAUAGUAAAUGUACAAGAGCGCAAAGUUUCGAUAGAGAUGAACCAGAUUUCGGUUUUCAAAAACCCUCCGGAAGUCGUAGUUUAUCUGCUUAUCCCUCUGUACAACUACAACGUGGCAGUUGUUCGAAUCUUGUGCGUCAAACCUCAACCGAAAGUUAUACACGUGAUGAGCGUCUCUCACUAAUGGGUUCCAUGCAACGCAUUUCUCUUUAUGAUGCACAUAAAUUGAAUCAAACAUCUGCACAAAAAUCUCCAUCUUCAUCAUCGUCAACAAGAAAAUACAAAAGUCCUUCAAAAAGAUUAAGGGAGUGUGUAUCAUAUGCAGAUGUGUUCCUCGAGGCCAUGGGUAAUGCAGCAACUCAUAAGAAUAAUAAUUCGAGUCGUUAUGGAAAAUUAUUUGAUAUUGAAAUUGAUUUUAAAGGAGAUCCUAUUGGUGUUCAUAUUACACAUUACUCGUGUAACAAAUACCGCAAUAGGAGAAAGAAAUUUUCAUAUAUUUUAUCAAUUGUUAUUGGGUGGUGACUUGCAAUUGUUAAAGUCCUUAAAAUUAUAUCGUAAUGUGGAAAAAUAUGAAAUUUUGAAAAAUACAACUGCCAUUGAAGAAGAUCGCACUAAUUUCCAUUAUACAAAGAAAUCUUUAGAGGUUCUUGGUCUAUCAUGUGAUGAAAUAAAUGCCAUU
rnacentral:misc_RNA from 1 species